rnacentral:rRNA from 1 species
AAAGGUGAAGUUAUAUUGUUUUAUAAAUAUAAUAUAUUUUAGGAGAAGCUAGGAAACUUUAAAAAUAAACUAGGAUUAGAUACCCUACUAUAUUAAAGUUAAAUUUAUGAAUACUGAGUUAUUAGUAGAUAUUUCUUAAAAUUUAAAGAAUUUGGCGGUAAUUUAGUCUUGUUAGAGGAAUUUGUUUUUUAAUCGAUACACCACGUUAUAUCUUACUUGAGUUUGUAUACCAUCAUUAUUAGAUAAUUUUAAAAGAAAAAAUUAUUAAAAAUAAAUAUAUUAAAAAAAUUAGAUCAAGGUGCAGCUGAUAAACAAGUUAAAAUGAGUUACAAUAAAAUUUAUUUAUACGGAAUAAUUUUUAUAAAGGUGGAUUUAAUUGUAUAUAAGUUUAAUAAACCUAUAAGAUAUAAGCUCUAAAUUAUGUACAUAUCGCCCGUCGCUUUC